CUAACCUCAGGGACAAGGCCCCGCUUCCUACACUCAGAAUUGACCCUAAGGCUAGACUCAUAAUAUCAGACCUCACCCUGUUUUCUGCACGCACACAACUUCUCCUUCUAUCCUUUUAGCAAGCUUUCCAGGCAGAGUGCCACAGAGAUCCCGCUGCCCAUGUUGCCUCUGGCCGACACUGAGAAGUUGAUUCGCGAGAAGGACGAAGAGCUGCGCCGCAUGCAAGAAAUGCUGGAGAAGAUGCAAGCCCAGAUGCAGCAGAGCCAGGCUCAGGGCGAGCAAUCAGAUGUGCUGUGAGAUGCUCACCGCCGCCUAUCCUAGCGUCUGCUUACCGCUAAUCUGUCUCAUCCCGGCUCUAGACUGCCCAGCGCCCAAUCCGAAGACCCAGAGGGUAGGCCGGCCCUUGCACUUUAAUCAGGUGCCUCCAAUCCGGAAGUUUAAGGCCCAGCCGACUCCGCCUUCUAUACUGUUCUGAGAGGACUGCCCUCCAAACGCUUAACGGCAGGUUCCACUUGGGUUUUAGCGUUCCUCCAAGUUCUCCAUCUAAUAAAACUGCUCCCUGCCUCCCCC
rnacentral:lncRNA from 1 species